rnacentral:lncRNA from 1 species
UAAUAAAUAAUUUGGCUACAAAUCAAGCGAAAAAAAUAAAUAGUGAACACAUGAAGUCAUGCGCCCAUUACCCACAGUGAAAUAUACUAAUCAGUACAAAGUAAUUUCACAAAUCUAUACCAUAGCAUGGAUCUCCCGUGGAUAUGUUCAGUUGUACCACUCAAUGAAGAACACAUAACAAAAACUAUACGAGAGAUCAGCAGAGGUCGAGCGAUAAAAAUUCAAGGUUUUUCCCAUGAUUGCACUACACAUGUUCAGAUUUUUCACCAGUAUUUUUAAGUGUGCUGCCGUCUGAACCUUUGACAUUUCCAUCUUAUAUAAAUGAUCUUCAACCCCCUGGAAACUUGUGAGAUAUGAUCGCAUCUCUCGAAAGCCAUCGACCGCUUCAGAACAAUUCCUGGAAUCCUCUCACACCGUGCAUAAAACUUGCCUACGGUCCCAAUAAUAAUAUUUCCAGGAUCCUUCUUCAAUCACCAUCAACAUUGUUGUCCCUGCCGGUCAGCUAUCAACUUACGGUUCCGAACAUACUAGCUUUGGCAAAAUGCGUACGGGCUGCUAAAGAAACUAAAGAUCGUUGGCGAACAACAUCGGGCAGUACCUUUGUUGUCUUUGAACUUCAUGGUUUCUUGAUUCUGAACUUGCGAUUUAUUUAAUUUUUUGCAGGGUGCAGGGAGACUGCCGGUGCUGGGAGGACGGGCUUUGUUCCCUCAAGAAGUCGCGUCCACUGUCGCACAGGACGGUGAGCAGGGGAGGAAAGAGAGACAGACCUGGCAACAAGCACUAUAAGAUGAUGAAUACAGCGGACCAUCUACUUAUAAGUUCAGGAAAAAUAUAUAAGCACAUCAGACUAUGUACGUCACAACGUGAAGCAAAGGAAAACCAAAGUGAACACUUAGCUACAACAGUUUCCUUACAUAUAUGAACGCAAACACAUCCUGGGCAAAGAAAUGCUGGGAAUAUCUCAAUCAAAAGAGAAUCACUAGUAGAUGUUGUGUCUCAAUGCACUGCUACAUCUCGUUUUUUCUCUUUUUCUUUUCCUAUUUUCUAGCCAAUUAUAAAGUGCUUAUAGCAAAAUUAUAACUUUUCCCCACUCCACGAUAAAAGUGCUUGGGAUGGAGGUAUUUUGUGCAGUAAAUAAUUGGGCAAAUAAUAGAACAUGAACAAGGGAAAAUGAAACCAAAGGGAAACACGAUUACACAACAGUUCUAUCUUCAGCUAGCCAUUUCAUCAAACAUGUCUUGUGCACCUUUUGGUUUGGCACAAGAUACAGAGAGAAGGAAGCGAGACUCGCUAGCAGUAGCUGCUGCUCCUUGUGUGUCACUAUGAAGCUGGAGUACAGACGACGCUUACCUCUUCAUCAACGUGUGGGAGAGGUGGCUACGGUGUGGCACGCAGGCGACACGCGGGGUGUGGGGGCGCUGGGCGGAGCAGUCCGUGGCAGCGCGUGCGAGCAGUCCAUAUACUACACAUGCUCUGUAUCUCCCU